rnacentral:rRNA from 1 species
GACGAACGCUGGCGGCGUGCUUAACACAUGCAAGUCGAACGGAAAGGCCCUGCUUUUGUGGGGUGCUCGAGUGGCGAACGGGUGAGUAACACGUGAGUAACCUGCCCUUGACUUUGGGAUAACUUCAGGAAACUGGGGCUAAUACCGGAUAGGAGCUCCUGCUGCAUGGUGGGGGUUGGAAAGUUUCGGCGGUUGGGGAUGGACUCGCGGCUUAUCAGCUUGUUGGUGGGGUAGUGGCUUACCAAGGCUUUGACGGGUAGCCGGCCUGAGAGGGGGGCCGGGGAGGUGGGGAGUGAGAUACGCACAGGAGGCAUGCGGGAGGCAGCAGGGGGGAGUGUGGCAGAACGGCCGGCGGGUUGAAAAAGGAACGCGGCGGGGGGGAGGCGGGCGUGCGGGGAGGGAACCAAGGACGCCUGGGACGAAGCGGGAGUGAAGGGAAGGGAUAAAGAAGCAACGGAUAAGUACGUG